CUGGCGGCGUGCCUAACACAUGCAAGUCGAACGGGAAUCUUCGGAUUCUAGUGGCGGACGGGUGAGUAACGCGUAAGAAUCUAACUUCAGGACGGGGACAACAGUUGGAAACGACUGCUAAUACCCGAUGUGCCGAAAGGUGAAACCUAAUUGGCCUGAAGAAGAGCUUGCGUCUGAUUAGCUAGUUGGUGGGGUAAGAGCCUACCAAGGCGACGAUCAGUAGCUGGUCUGAGAGGAUGAGCAGCCACACUGGGACUGAGACACGGCCCAGACUCCUACGGGAGGCAGCAGUGGGGAAUUUUCCGCAAUGGGCGAAAGCCUGACGGAGCAACGCCGCGUGAGGGAGGAAGGUCUUUGGAUUGUAAACCUCUUUUCUCAAGGAAGAAGUUCUGACGGUACUUGAGGAAUCAGCCUCGGCUAACUCCGUGCCAGCAGCCGCGGUAAUACGGGGGAGGCAAGCGUUAUCCGGAAUUAUUGGGCGUAAAGCGUCCGCAGGUGGUCAGCCAAGUCUGCCGUCAAAUCAGGUUGCUUAACGACCUAAAGGCGGUGGAAACUGGCAGACUAGAGAGCAGUAGGGGUAGCAGGAAUUCCCAGUGUAGCGGUGAAAUGCGUAGAGAUUGGGAAGAACAUCGGUGGCGAAAGCGUGCUACUGGGCUGUAUCUGACACUCAGGGACGAAAGCUAGGGGAGCGAAAGGGAUUAGAUACCCCUGUAGUCCUAGCCGUAAACGAUGGAUACUAGGCGUGGCUUGUAUCGACCCGAGCCGUGCCGAAGCUAACGCG
rnacentral:rRNA from 1 species